rnacentral:rRNA from 1 species
UCACUGCUAUUGGGAUUCGACUAAGCCAUGCGAGUCGUGAGGGUUCGGCCCUCGGCAGACGGCUCAGUAACACGUAGAUAAUUUGCCCUUAGGUGGAGGAUACCCUCGGGAAACUGAGAAUAAUACUCCAUAGAUUUAGAAUGCUGGAAUGCUUUUAGAUUGAAAGAUUUAUCGCCUAAGGAUAAGUCUGCGGACUAUCAGGUCGUAGUUAGGGUAACUACCUGACUAGCCUACGACGGAUACGGGUUGUGAGAGCACUAGCCCGGAGAUGAUAUCUGAGACACGAUAUCAGGCCCUACGGGGCGCAGCAGGCGCGAAAACUUCGCACUGUGCGAAAGCACGACGAGGGAAUCCCAAGUGCUGGCUCGUAAGAGUCAGCUGUUUCUUUGUCUAAAAAACAGAGAGAGUAAGGGCUGGGUAAGACGGGUGCCAGCCGCCGCGGUAAUACCUGCAGCCCAAGUGGUGGCCGCUAUUAUUGGGCCUAAAACGUCCGUAGCCGGUUCU